rnacentral:rRNA from 1 species
GUGGGGAAUAUUGGACAAUGGGCGCAAGCCUGCUCCAGCCAUGCCGCGUGAGUGAUGAAGGCCUUAGGGUUGUAAAGCUCUUUCAGUGGGGACGAUAAUGACGGUACCCACAGAAGAAGCCCCGGCUAACUUCGUGCCAGCAGCCGCGGUAAUACGAAGGGGGCUAGCGUUGUUCGGAUUUACUGGGCGUAAAGCGCACGUAGGCGGAUCGUUAAGUCGGGGGUGAACUCCUGGAGCUCAACUCCAGAACUGCCUUCGAUACUGGCGAUCUUGAGUCCGGGAUAGGUGAGAGUAACUCCUAGUGUAGAGGUGGAAUUCGUAGAUAUUAGGAAGAACACCAGUGGCGAAGGCGGCUCACUGGUCCGGUACUGACGCUGAGGUGCGAAAGCGUGGGGAGCAAACAGGAUUAGAAACCCUGGUAGUCC